CAUGCACAGAAAUUCCUUCACAGAUGGGCCCUGACGUGUGUCUCCUUGGUGAUUUUCAACCCAGCCAUGUGAACAACGAAGUUUAACCACCAUACAGAGGAACACAGAGAAGAGUCACUACUUAUGCAAGAGGACGAACCAGAAAACUUGAUGGCUUCAAAAGAAAAUGAAGAAGACGUUUAUCCCCUUGGAAGGUGGAGUGGGCUGUGUGCGUAUCCACCCAUCGGCUGUUAUUCUGACCUGGUGAAAGUGAGCGGCCAUUACCAACCAGAAGACAGAAAGCAGAUCUGGUGAAGUCUAGCAGGACAAGCCAUUGUUGACUGGGAGAAGAGACACACAAACUGCCACAACAGGCUUGUGAAGAAAAUCUGUUAUAUUAAAGUCCAGCCAUAAAACAGACAAUAAAUGAAACUGCAACCACA
rnacentral:lncRNA from 1 species